AACAAGAGUUCCGCGGUCGGAGAUGACCGCAUUGAAGCCGGAUUUUUGAUUUAAAUGACAGGAAAGUACCUUUCGUGUUUUUGUCAAUGCAAUACUUAAAUUACUGAAAUAUUGUUCAAAGGUCAAAAUGAAAUGUAAGUACUUUUCAAGGCAUGAGCAAACCUUGUGUUAUGUUUUGAAUGCAUGCAUAUACAUGAACAACAAUAACAUUUAAGGUCACAAAUAUGACCUUGAAAUGUCCAGUGGUUACUUACUAGUUCUGGCCAACCUUCAUGUCAAGUUUCAAGACUCUAGGUCCAAGCAUACCAAAGUUAUAACAACUUUAACAUUUUUACAUUCAAGGUCACAGUGACCUUGACCUUCAAAUGAAUGACCUUGAAAUGUCCAGUGGUUACUUACUAGUUCUGGCCAACCUUCAUGUCAAGUUUCAAGACUCUAGGUCCAAGCAUACCAAAGUUAUAACAACUUUAACAUUUUUAUAUUGAAGGUCACAGUGACCUUGACCUUCAAAUGAAUGACCUUGAAAUGACCAGUGGUCAUCUGUUAAUC